AGAGUUUGAUCCUGGCUCAGGACGAACGCUGGCGGCGCGCCUAACACAUGCAAGUCGAACGAGCGAGAGAGAGCUUGCUUUCUCGAGCGAGUGGCGAACGGGUGAGUAACGCGUGAGGAACCUGCCUCAAAGAGGGGGACAACAGUUGGAAACGACUGCUAAUACCGCAUAAGCCCACGGCUCGGCAUCGAGCAGAGGGAAAAGGAGCAAUCCGCUUUGAGAUGGCCUCGCGUCCGAUUAGCUAGUUGGUGAGGUAACGGCCCACCAAGGCGACGAUCGGUAGCCGGACUGAGAGGUUGAACGGCCACAUUGGGACUGAGACACGGCCCAGACUCCUACGGGAGGCAGCAGUGGGGAAUAUUGCACAAUGGGGGAAACCCUGAUGCAGCGACGCCGCGUGGAGGAAGAAGGUCUUCGGAUUGUAAACUCCUGUUGUUGAGGAAGAUAAUGACGGUACUCAACAAGGAAGUGACGGCUAACUACGUGCCAGCAGCCGCGGUAAAACGUAGGUCACAAGCGUUGUCCGGAAUUACUGGGUGUAAAGGGAGCGCAGGCGGGAGAACAAGUUGGAAGUGAAAUCCAUGGGCUCAACCCAUGAACUGCUUUCAAAACUGUUUUUCUUGAGUAGUGCAGAGGUAGGCGGAAUUCCCGGUGUAGCGGUGGAAUGCGUAGAUAUCGGGAGGAACACCAGUGGCGAAGGCGGCCUACUGGGCACCAACUGACGCUGAGGCUCGAAAGUGUGGGUAGCAAACAGGAUUAGAUACCCUGGUAGUCCACACCGUAAACGAUGAUUACUAGGUGUUGGAGGAUUGACCCCUUCAGUGCCGCAGUUAACACAAUAAGUAAUCCACCUGGGGAGUACGACCGCAAGGUUGAAACUCAAAGGAAUUGACGGGGGCCCGCACAAGCAGUGGAGUAUGUGGUUUAAUUCGACGCAACGCGAAGAACCUUACCAAGUCUUGACAUCCCUUGACGAUGCUGGAAACAGUAUUUCUCUUCGGAGCAAGGAGACAGGUGGUGCAUGGUUGUCGUCAGCUCGUGUCGUGAGAUGUUGGGUUAAGUCC
rnacentral:rRNA from 1 species